rnacentral:rRNA from 1 species
UACGUAGGGUGCGAGCGUUAAUCGGAAUUACUGGGCGUAAAGCGUGCGCAGGCGGUUUUGUAAGACAGAUGUGAAAUCCCCGGGCUUAACCUGGGAACUGCAUUUGUGACUGCAAGACUAGAGUACGGCAGAGGGGGGUAGAAUUCCACGUGUAGCAGUGAAAUGCGUAGAUAUGCGGAGGAACACCGAUGGCGAAGGCAAUCCCCUGGACCUGUACUGACGCUCAUGCACGAAAGCGUGGGGAGCAAACAGG